ensembl:misc_RNA Y_RNA Y RNA
GGCUGGUCCUAAGGUAAGGAGUUAUCUUGAUUGUUCAGUCAGUUACCAAAUCAAACUCCUUGUUCUACUCUUCCCCCUUUCUCACUACUGCACUUGACUAGUCUUAA